AUAUAUGGCUUUCUAUGUAUGUAGCUCUGUCAGUAUUUUUUGCUUGGUAAAUCUGUCUUUUGCCUCUCUAUCUAGCAGUAUCAAUACCUCUCACUAGCCGGCCAGCAGUGUUUCAGCUGACAGGUUCCUAUUUUAUAGCACAGUUCAAAGUGUCAAAAUUGGUAAAUGAGAAUGUUUCCCUUCACAGACACUUUGUUACACUAUAGUGCUAUUUUUGUACUUUCAUUUAGACUCUGUCA